CUACGUGCCAGCAGCCGCGGUAAUACGUAGGUCCCGAGCGUUGUCCGGAUUUAUUGGGCGUAAAGCGAGCGCAGGCGGUUUGAUAAGUCUGGAGUUAAAGGCUGUGGCUCAACCAUAGUUCGCUUUGGAAACUGUCAAACUUGAGUGCAGAAGGGGAGAGUGGAAUUCCAUGUGUAGCGGUGAAAUGCGUAGAUAUAUGGAGGAACACCGGUGGCGAAAGCGGCUCUCUGGUCUGCAACUGACGCUGAGGCUCGAAAGCGUGGGGAGCGAACAGGAUUAGAUACCCUGGUAGUCCACGCCGUAAACGAUGAGUGCUAGGUGUUGGAUCCUUUCCGGGAUUCAGUGCCGCAGCUAACGCAUUAAGCACUCCGCCUGGGGAGUACGACCGCAAGGUUGAAACUCAAAGGAAUUGACGGGGGCCCGCACAAGCGGUGGAGCAUGUGGUUUAAUUCGAAGCAACGCGAAGAACCUUACCAGGUCUUGACAUCCCUCUGAUCGCUCUAGAGAUAGAGUUUUC
rnacentral:rRNA from 1 species